GCCGCGGUAAUACUGAGGGUGCAAGCGUUAAUCGGAAUUACUGGGCGUAAAGCGCGCGUAGGCGGUCUGGUCAGUCAGAUGUGAAAGCCCCGGGCUUAACCUGGGAACUGCAUUUGAAACUGCCAGACUAGAGUGUGGUAGAGGGAAGUGGAAUUCCGCGUGGAGCGGUGAAAUGCGUAGAGAUGCGGAGGAACACCAGUGGCGAAGGCGACUUCCUGGACCAACACUGACGCUCAGGUGCGAAAGCGUGGGGAGCAAACAGGAUUAGAUACCCUGGUAGUCCACGCCGUAAACGAUGUCUACUAGCCGUUGGGGAGCUUGUCUCCUUAGUGGCGCAGCUAACGCGAUAAGUAGACCGCCUGGGGAGUACGGUCGCAAGACUAAAACUCAAAGGAAUUGGCGGGGGAGCACGGUCAUACUUGUUUCCUGA
rnacentral:rRNA from 1 species